UAAUACGGAGGGUGCGAGCGUUGUUCGGAAUUACUGGGCGUAAAGAGAGUGUAGGCGGCUAAUUAAGUCUGGUGUGAAAGCCCGGGGCUCACCCCCGGAAGUGCGCUGGAAACUGGUUAGCUAGAGUAUGGGAGAGGGAAGUGGAAUUCCUGGUGUAGCGGUGAAAUGCGUAGAUAUCAGGAGGAACACCGGCGGCGAAGGCGGCUUCCUGGACCAAUACUGACGCUGAGACUCGAAAGCGUGGGGAGCAAACAGGAUUAGAUACCCUGGUCGUCCACGCCGUAAACGAUGGGCACUAGGUGCCGCGGGUAUUGACCCCUGCGGUGCCGCAGCUAACGCAUUAAGUGCCCCGCCUGGGGAGUACGGUCGCAAGAUUA
rnacentral:rRNA from 1 species